AAUAGAUACCCCGGUAGUCCACGCCGUAAACGAUGAAUGCUAGGUGUUAGGGGUUUCGAUACCCUUGGUGCCGAAGUUAACACAUUAAGCAUUCCGCCUGGGGAGUACGGUCGCAAGACUGAAACUCAAAGGAAUUGACGGGGACCCGCACAAGCAGUGGAGUAUGUGGUUUAAUUCGAAGCAACGCGAAGAACCUUACCAGGUCUUGACAUCCCUCUGACCGGUGUAGAGAUACACCUUUCCUUCGGGACAGAGGAGACAGGUGGUGCAUGGUUGUCGUCAGCUCGUGUCGUGAGAUGUUGGGUUAAGUCCCGCAACGAGCGCAACCCUUGAUCUUAGUUGCCAGCACUUCGGGUGGGCACUCUAAGGUGACUGCCGGUGACAAACCGGAGGAAGGUGGGGAUGACGUCAAAUCAUCAUGCCCCUUAUGACCUGGGCUACACACGCACUACAAUGGCCGGUACAACGGGCUGCGAAGCCGCGAGGUGGAGCUAAUCCUAAAAAGCCGGUCUCAGUUCGGAUUGCAGGCUGCAACUCG
rnacentral:rRNA from 1 species